UGCCAGCCGCCGCGGUAAUACGGAGGGUGCAAGCGUUGUUCGGAAUUAUUGGGCGUAAAGAGCAUGUAGGCGGACUGUUAAGUCUGGCGUGAAAGCCCGGGGCUCAACCCCGGAAGUGCGUUGGAUACUGGCGAACUUGGGUACGGGAGAGGAAAGUGGAAUUCCGAGUGUAGGGGUGAAAUCCGUAGAUAUUCGGAGGAACACCAGUGGCGAAGGCGGCUUUCUGGACCGAUACUGACGCUGAGACGCGAAAGCGUGGGGAGCAAACAGGAUUAGAUA
rnacentral:rRNA from 1 species